ACCCAAUAGAUACCCCGGUAGUCCACGCCGUAAACUAUGGAUGCUAGCUGUAAGAGGUAUCGACCCCUCUUGUAGCGAAAGCUAAACGCGUUAAGCAUCCCGCCUGUGGAGUACGGUCGCAAGACUAAAACAUAAAGGAAUUGACGGGGACCCGCACAAGCGGUGGAGCGUGUUGUUUAAAUUCGAUGGUAAACGAAGAACCUUACCCAGGUUUGACAUCCUUGGAAUUUCUCCGAAAGGAGAGAGUGCUUUAUUGAGCCAAGUGACAGGUGAUGCAUGGCCGUCGUCAGCUCGUGUCGUGAGAUGUUUGGUUAAGUCCAUCAACGAGCGCAACCCUUAUGGUCUGUUGUAUUUCUCAGGCCAGACUGCCCUGGUAACAGGGAGGAAGGGGGGUAGUGAUGUCAGGUCAGUAUUUCCCUUACAUCUGGGGCGUACAAACACGCUACAAUGGCCGGUACAAAGGGCGUGCCAAGUCGCGAGACGGAGCAAAUCCCAUCAAAGCCGGUCCCAGUUCAGAUUGCAGGCUGAAA
rnacentral:rRNA from 1 species